UCAAAGAAUUCAAUACAAAGAAAAAUGGUGACUUCCCGCAGUUCAUUGUUUUCUCUUCUCUCAUUUCUCAUACUUGCAUUAGCCAUCCUACAGGCUGACGCAUCAAGAAUUCACGAUGAUUAUCUUAAAUGCCUACAAUCUCAAAACUCAAACUCCGUAUCUACCAUUGCUUACACCCCAAGAAACACAUCAUAUUCAUCCAUAUUGCAAUCCACGGAGCAAAACUUACGUCCCGCAUCAACCUCUCUAUUCAAGCCAACUCUCAUCCUUACACCACUUCAUUCAUCCCAGAUCCAGGCCGCAAUACGCUGUGCCAGGAAACAUGAAAUUCAAAUCAGAGUCCGGAGUGGUGGACAUGAUUAUGAGGGUCUUUCCUAUGCUUCAACAAGCCCUUUUGUCAUUGUUGAUCUUAGAAACAUUAGCUCGAUAUCAGUUGACAGGGAAAAUCGUACGGCAUGGGUUGAAGCAGGGGCAACUCUUGGCCAACUUUACUACAAAAUCGGUGAGACAAGUAGGGAACUCGCAUUCGUUGCUGGUGCUUGUCCCACAGUAGGCGUUGGAGGACACUUCAGCGGAGGAGGCUAUAGCAUGUUGUCACGUAAAUUUGGGUUGUCAGUUGAUCAUAUUAUUGAUGCCAAAAUUAUUGACGUGAACGGUCAAAUUUUGGAUAGAAGGUCUAUGGGUGAGGAUCUAUUUUGGGCAAUCAGAGGAGGUGGUGGAGCAAGUUUUGGGAUCAUCAUUGCAUGGAAAGUAAGUCUUGUUUCUGUUCCUGAAAAGGUAACAGUUUUCAAUCUAACCAAGACAUCGGAUCAAAAUGCCACUCAGCUAGUAUAUCAGUGGCAGCACAUUGCAGACAAGAUUGAUGAAAAUUUACUAAUUAGGCUCUUCAUAACGAGUUCCACUUCUCCCCAAACUGGAAAGAAAUCCAUAGUAGUUUCAUUUACCUCUUUGUUCGUCGGUGGAAUUGAUCAGCUCCUUUCCUUGAUGCAAAAAAGCUUCCCAGAGCUGGGAUUGGCAAAAGAAGAUUGCAUUGAAAUGAGCUGGCUCGAGUCCACAGUCUACUUUGCCAACAUUCCAGGAGCUGCAUCAGUUGAGGUCCUUCUGGAUAGGAAUUCGUCCAAGUCAUAUUUCAAAGGAAAGUCAGACUAUGUAAAGAAACCAAUUUCAGUAAAAGGUCUUGAAGGAUUAUGGAAAAGGCUUUUUGCAGAAGAAGAAGAAGACAUGGAGGCACAUUUCCAGCUACAGUUUAGUCCUUAUGGAGGAAUGAUGAGUGAAAUCUCAGAAUCUGCAACACCUUUCCCUCAUAGGAGAGGGAACAUUUUCAUGAUUCAUUAUGCAGCGGCAUGGGACAAAAAAAGCAAUGCAGAAUCCAAAAGACAUGUGAAUUGGACAAGAAGAAUUUACAGCUACAUGGCUGCCUAUGUAUCAAAGUCUCCAAGAGCUGCAUAUUUGAAUUAUAGGGAUCUUGACUUGGGAGUUAAUAAAAUCAAAGGCAAUACAAGCUAUAAACAAGCUAGCAUUUGGGGGACUAAAUAUUUCAACCAAAAUUUUGACAGAUUGGUACAUGUGAAGACUAAAGUGGAUCCAAGUAAUUUCUUUAGAAAUGAGCAAAGCAUUCCACCGCUGUCAUAAUGGUGGUAGGUAGAUUGAAGGACCAAAAAAAUAGAGUUUGUUUAUGGUUAUUUUCCUUUUCUCUUUUUUAAAUGGUUCAUGGUACAAUGCGAAAUAAAUAAAAUUGUUGCUUUUAGAAUAUUAAUGAUCUGUACUACACAGCAAAUUUUUUGCCGUUGCUCUAGUUUCAAUUUUCCUUGUGAACGCACAGAGGAAAUAAUCUUUCUUGGUUCUGAUUAGAUUUAAAUUCGUAGUGCUGUUAUGGGUCGGAAGCAAUUUGAAAUUCUUUAUGACUUCAUAGGAUGUUGUUUCCUUUUCCGGGUUAGAUAUUGAAUAAUUAUAAGCUUAUAAGUACUUGUUGCUUUGGUAUACAUUUUUACAAAUGUAAGAAGGAACAUUUGUGUACUUGUGUUAAAAAUCACAAAGGAAGAGAUGCUUCCUCAUCCAACAAAAUGCCUAAGGCAUAUAAGCUAGCAUUAGCACUAGCGGUACUAUUAUCAUUCUUAUCUAAACAAAAAUAGCACAUUGGAAACAAUGGCUUUAAACAAAAUAUGUCCUCUAAGAUCAUUGUUAACCUGCCAUCCAAUGCUUUCCCAAGCAUUAUUUGUCUCAGCACUUCUUUGUUUUGGACCCUUACUUUGAUGUUACGCCAUCCCCUUUGCAGCGCUUUGCACAAUACUAAUCUGAUUGCUGCAGCCGCGUCCGUGUUUUUGUUUCCAUGACUUCUGUCCUUUAGUGCCCAGGAUUCUAUUGUGUCAUGUGACCUCGUCUUGAUCUCGACCCCAAUACCUACCACAGCAGGCCUGAGUAGGGUAAUUGUUGUCACUGUCAUACUUUUCAAGUUAUGGUCCUCUUGUGCUUCAUUUCCAACCUCCAGGUCUGGCAUUGUUUCUGCUGUACUCAAAUCAGCUUCGUGCCUUCUUACAUCCUCCAUUUCAAAUCAGCUUCCAGGCAUGCCCACUUCUAAGAAAUUGCAUCUAGAAUUUUUGAUUGUUCUCUUCCUAUGAAAUUCUUGACUUGGGGAAUUCAUUACCAGAGCUUAAGCUUUAAUUUCAAAACUGAACAAGAUUCACUAGCUUCUACAUUUACAUGAUCAAUCAAACUAAAAGUACAUGAAGUUAGGAUGAAUUGACUGCUAUGCUAUGCUAUUCAACAUUGAAUUUAUAAACAUAAUCUAAUUGCUUUAAUUGUUUAGAUUGUUUAAAAAACAUUUGGGUUUGUAAUUUAUCAGUUAUCUGAAUAUAUUUUAAAUACUAGAAUAAUUGGUGAUUUACAAGUUUAAAUAUCUCCUAAAAAAAUUCUAAACAAUUAGAAGAAUUUGAAAUGAUUUUAAAUUUUUCGUCAAAUCUCUCAAUCCAAAUGCAGUGAUAAUAUAUUAAUACAAAUAAACUACUCUACCUAUACUAUAUUAAUGAACUAAGAAAAACUAGUGAAGACUAUAUUUUUGGUGAGUUUCUCUAGGCUUCCAAAGUUGUGAAAAUGUUCUCCAAAGGCCUCUAUUUAUAGAGGAAUUCAAGAGUCAAAUGAGUUGUUAAAGUUGUCAUUUUUGACUCUUGAAUCUUCCAUGAGUUGUCUUUCUAAUUUUCCAACCUUUUCUUGAUCAGAUACAACCGAGAUUGAUAACUGGAAUUGAGUUGGAAAAAUUUUGUGAAAGCAAGGCAAGUUGAUGAGCAAGUUGCAGAAAACAUGUGAGAAUACGUGACUACAUCAAUAUGCAACUUUAGCUCGCGUAUUGUAUAGUCGCCUUUUGAGUUCUGCGUAGUUCAACUGCUAUUUUCUCGAUGAUGGAAACUGAAAUAACUCUUGUGCAAAACAUGAAAGUUGUAGCCCUUUGAGCUAUCUUUCCAAUGCCUUAAGAAUCAUCUUAUUUGGAGCUCUGUGGACCGUGAUAUGACUGAAAUACAAAAGACUGGUCAGAGCUCUGUUCCAGCUUACGACCACAGAAUUGCACUUCUAUAUUUUGACUUUUCGACAUUGAAAACGACUGAACUAAACUUUGAUGUCUCAUAACAAAGGUAGAUCUAUCUCUUAGCCUUAAAAUGGUAUAAGAGUUGUCUCUAUCCGAUGCUUGUAGCUCAAGAUAUAGCCGAAAUACGAAAAUGUGUUAAAGCUGUGAAACUUGCUUCCUUUGUUCUUGAUUGCAUUUCCUCUUUUGCAUUUCAUAUUCUCUUUUUAUCACUUUAAACCAUCAUCAAUCAUCCAAAUAUGUUCUCAAAUCAUGUAUUUGAUGAUUGAAUUUUUAAACCUAUAAAAACAUGAAGUUUUCACCAUAAAAAUGCAAUUUUUACCCUUUAAACCACAAAAUGUAUAUUUUCACUAGAAACUUAGUUUAUUAGCUAUAAAAAUAGUUAAAACACACCAAAACUAAACAAUAAAACACGUAAAAUAUCUACUUGUCACUUUAAUUGUUUAAAUUGCUUUAAAAACAUUUGGGUUUGUAAUUUAUCAAUUAUCUAAAUAUAUUUUAAACACUAGAACAAUUGGUGAUUUUCAAGUCUAUAUAUCUCCCGGUAAAUCUAAACUAUUAGAGAAAUUUGAGAUGAUUUCAAAUCUUUCAUAAAUCCCUCAAUCCAAAUGUGUCAUAACAUAUUAACACAAAGAAAUCAUUCGCUAUAUCAGGAUAACACGCAACAUAGCAAUACUUUUCUAAAACGUGUUACAGAAAAUUUUCAUUUCUAGGCAUUUAUGAUCUUGCAAACGUAUCCUGGAGAACUUUUGAAUACGGUAAGAACCAAAACCUCCUUAAGAAAAAUAUAGAGCAAAUUAUCCUAAUGGCCACUAAACUUUUAGAAUUAUCGAGUUUUGGUCAUUGAACUAAUAAAAGUUUGAUUUUGGCCACUGAACUAUCUAACGUUUAGAUUUUAGGCCAUUUCGUUAGAUUUGGUCGUUAACUAUGCCAGAUUUGAGUGUCCACACGAUUCAUGAGACAAAAGAAAGAGACAUGGUUAAUUAUUAAAUCUGACGGAUAACCUGAAAUCUAAAAUUUAAAUAGAUAAAUAGCCAAAAUUAGACAUUUAAUAGUUCAGUUGUCAAAACUCGAUAAUUUCAAAAAUUUGGUGGCCAUCUUGAUAAUUUCUCAAAAAUCCAUAAAAAAACACCAUAGCCCAAUUUAGUUUUAUCCAUAGUUAUUAUACCCAACCCACCCCCGCGGUUGAAUCGGUUAAAUAGAUGAACCGGCCAUGGAACUGGAUCGAUUUAGCAAUUGGAUCGGAGUUGCAGAUGACUCGCUUUGAACUGUUUAAUUCGGACGGUCGAAUCGAUGACCCGCUAAAUCCUGCAAUUUUUUAUGAACCCGGCGGAUUUCUGAAAUUUUUCUAAAAUUACCUUUUUAUCCAAAUUUUUAAUUUGACCAGUCAUACCAGUAUGGGCAUUGUUGUGUUUUUGACAAUUAGAUGAGAAAAAUUGAAAAUAAAUUUGGGGAUUAGGGUUUCUUUCUUUCUUUGACACUUAAAUUUAUCAUUUAUGUUUAGGGAUAAUUGCAGAAACCUCUCCUGAGGUUUCUAACAUUUACACUGACCUCCCCUAUGGUUUGAAAAAUUACACUGACCUCCCUUGAGGUUACUAAUCCUUUGCAAAUUCAGUCCAAAUGAUUAAAAUAUUGUUUUAGGGUGUGAAAUUAGAAUUUUGUACCAAAUUUGUCCUUUCUACUACAUGUCCAAUGAAUGACAAAGUAUUACAAAUCAAUUAACAAUUAAUAAACUUUAAGGAGUAUAGUUUAUAGGCAAAUACAUAUUACCUAUUUAAAGUACCGACUUUUUAUGGGUAUUUUACUUUCAAAUAUUUAAUUUUACUCUCAGGAGAGGUUUCUGCAAUUAUCCCUUAUGUUUAUGUAUAAUAUCAAUAUGAAUUCAUGAAACACGUAUAGGUAUAACUUGUGUAUGAACUAUGAAAUAUGAAUAGGUUAUAACUUGUUAACAUUUAAAAAUUUAUGUACUUAUAUAAUAAUUUAUAUAUUUAUUUAAUUAUAUUUAUAUUUUUAUUAUAUAGUAUGACCCGACGAUUCAAUCAUUGACCCGUUGGUUGAACCACUGACCUGGCAACCUCAUCCUCCUGCCAGAUUGAUGCCCAAAUUGAUUUUAAUAACUAUAUGGUUUAUUAAAGAAUUCAAUACUUUGGACUCGGUUCUCCUCAUUUGGUGGCCCACAAAACAAAGCCCGUUGGUUGAUCAAAUCAACUUGACGUGAAGCAAACCUAGUGGCUAGUCUCUUGACUAGUACUAGAGCCACGUGUUUCGUUUCCUUUUUUAUCCAAACCAGAUAAAUGGGCUACCACACUUGCUUACAAUUACCAAAUAACUGGCCUACCCUGUCACUAUUCAUUCGCUCAUUGAACCUUGGACAUAUUUAUGAUAAGAUGAAUAAAAUAUAACAACGUAUUUCACAUGUUUCCCAGUAACGUAAUCUAUUGGCUGAAUUUCUUAGAGAUCGAAGCGAAAAAGUUGAUAUCUACUUCUCUGUUAUGGUACUAUUUUCAAGCUCGUGUAUUGGGAAAUGGUAUUUUGCGGCCGCAAGCAAAGGAAAAAUAUGUAUUCGAGAAAAGGACAUGUGAGCUUGAUCUCUAAGAAAGGAUCUGAGAUGGACUUUUCUUUCUUUAAUAUUUUUCCAGGCGAAAUUACAUCUGCAAUUUUUGCUUGUUCUCUUCCUGCGAAAUUCUUGACUUGGGGAAUUCAUUACCAGAGCUUAAGCUUUAAUUUCAAAACUAAACAAGAUUCACUAGCUUCUACAUUUAAGUAAUCAAUCAAACUAAAAGUACAUGAAGUUACGAGGAAUUGACUGCUAUGCCAUGCUAUUCAGCAUUGAAUUUAUAAACAUAAUCUAAUUGCUUUAAUUGUUUAGAUUGUUUAAAAAACAUUUAGGUUUGUAAUUUAUCAGUUAUCUGAAUAUAUUUUAAAUACUAGAAUAAUUGGUGAUUUACAAGUUUAAAUAUCUCCUAAAAAAAUUCUAAACAAUUAGAAGAAUUUUAAAUGAUUUUAAAUUUUUCGUCCAAUCUCUCUAUCCAAAUGCAGUGAUAACAUAUUAAUACAAAGAAAUCAUUCAGCCAGUGCAUUGCAUCUGGCUACUGGAACCAGCUGCCUUUGUCGGCUUACGAAUUGAAAAUAUCGGGCACUUGUUUUGAUUGUUCCAUUGUCUCCCACGCCCGAUAAAAUACUCACUAAAUAAACGAGAUAGAAAACGUGUUAUAGAAAAUUUAAUACCGUAAGAACCAAAGCCUCCUUAAGAAAAUUCUAUAAAUAGCACUCUAGCCCAAUUCAGUUUUAUCAAAGAAUUCAAUACAAAGAAAAAUGGUGACUUCCGGCAGUUCAUUGUUUUCUCAUCUCUCAUUUCUCAUACUUGCAUUAGCCAUCCUACAGGCUGACGCAUCAAGAAUUCACGAUGAUUAUCUUAACUGCCUACAAUCUCAAAACUCAAACUCCGUAUCUACCAUUGCUUACACCCCAAGAAACACAUCAUAUUCAUCCAUAUUGCAAUCCACGGAGCAAAACUUACGUCCCGCAUCAACCUCUCUAUUCAAGCCAACUCUCAUCCUUACACCACUUCAUUCAUCCCAGAUCCAGGCGGCAAUACGCUGUUCCAGGAAACAUGAAAUUCAAAUCAGAGUCCGGAGUGGUGGACAUGAUUAUGAGGGUCUUUCCUAUGCUUCAACAAGCCCUUUUGUCAUUGUUGAUCUUAGAAACAUUAGCUCGAUAUCAGUUGACAGGGAAAAUCAUACGGCAUGGAUUGAAGCAGGGGCAACUCUUGGCCAACUUUACUACAAAAUCGGUGAGACAAGUAGGGAACUCGCAUUCGUUGCUGGUGCUUGUCCCACAGUAGGCGUUGGAGGACACUUCAGCGGAGGAGGCUAUAGCAUGUUGUCACGUAAAUUUGGGUUGUCAGUUGAUCAUAUUAUUGAUGCCAAAAUUAUUGACGUGAACGGUCAAAUUUUGGAUAGAAGGUCUAUGGGUGAGGAUCUAUUUUGGGCAAUCAGAGGAGGUGGUGGAGCAAGUUUUGGGAUCAUCAUUGCAUGGAAAGUAAGUCUUGUUUCUGUUCCUGAAAAGGUAACAGUUUUUAAUCUAACCAAGACGUCAGAUCAAAAUGCAACUCAGCUAGUAUAUCAGUGGCAGCACAUUGCAGACAAGAUUGAUGAAAAUUUACUA
rnacentral:lncRNA from 1 species